AAGGAGUCAAUCCAGUUAUCUGAAAUAUCUGUAUUCACUAUUGAUCCAGAAUGGCUCUUGGGACAAUGAAAUUGUUGUUACCAGCCUGCCAAAAAGAAUCCUGGAUUUUCUCAUUCAUUAGCCAGUAAUAUGGACUUAAAUUUCUAAAGAGGUG